rnacentral:rRNA from 1 species
CCUACGGGAGGCAGCAGUAAGGAAUAUUGGUCAAUGGACGAAAGUCUGAACCAGCCAUGCCGCGUGAAGGAUGAAGGUCCUCUGGAUUGUAAACUUCUUUUAUAUGGGACGAAAAAAGGUCAUUCUUGAUCACUUGACGGUACCAUUUGAAUAAGCACCGGCUAACUCCGUGCCAGCAGCCGCGGUAAU